GUGGGGAAUAUUGCACAAUGGGGGAAACCCUGAUGCAGCGACGCCGCGUGAGGGAAGACGGUUUUCGGAUUGUAAACCUCUGUCUUUCGGGACGAAGGAAGUGACGGUACCGAAAGAGGAAGCUCCGGCUAACUACGUGCCAGCAGCCGCGGUAAUACGUAGGGAGCGAGCGUUGUCCGGAAUUACUGGGUGUAAAGGGAGCGUAGGCGGGAAUGCAAGUCAAGUGUUAAAUCUACCGGCUCAACUGGUAGCUGCGCUUGAAACUGCAAUUCUUGAGUGAAGUAGAGGCAGGCGGAAUUCCUAGUGUAGCGGUGAAAUGCGUAGAUAUUAGGAGGAACACCAGUGGCGAAGGCGGCCUGCUGGGCUUUAACUGACGCUGAGGCUCGAAAGCAUGGGUAGCAAACAGGA
rnacentral:rRNA from 1 species